UUGAUUAGGAUUUGAUUUAGGAUUUGAUUAAGGUUUGAUUUAGGAUUUGAUUAGGGUUUGAUUUAGGAUUUAGAAUUUUCUUCAGAAUUGAUUUAAGGUUUAGGAUGUAGUUAGGAUUUGGUUUAGGAUGUAGUUAAGAUUUGGUUUAGGAUUUAAGAUUUGAUUAGGAUUUGAUUUAAGAUUUAGAGUUUGAUUAGGAUUUAAUUUAGGAUUUAGAAUUUGGUUAAGGUUUGAUUUAGAGUUAGGAUUUGAUUUAAAGUUAAGAUUUGAUCAGGAUUUGAUUUAGGAUUCAAGAUUUGGUUAGGGUUUGAUUUAGGAUUUAGGAUUUGAUUAGGAUUUGGUUAGGAUUUGCUUUAGAAUUUAGGAUUUGAUUUAGGAUUUAGAAUUUGGUUAGGGUUUGAUUUAGAGUUAAGAUUUGAUUUAGGAUUCGGAUUUGAUUAGGAGUUGAUUUAGAGUUUAGGAUUUUUUUAGGAUUUGAUUUAUGAUUUAGGGUUUUAUUAGGAUUUAUUUAAAGUUUAAGAUUUAGUUAGUUUUUGGCCUAAAGUUUGAAUGAAGUCUAAUAGGAUUUUAACCAGGAUUAAAUUAAGAUUGAAUUGAGAUGUAUUUGAGAUAUAUUUGUGAUUAUUCUAAUAUUUUUUUAAGAUUUUUUAUUAUUUCUUUGUAAUUCCUUUGAAAUUUCUUUAAAUUUGAUUAAAACUUGUUUAACAUUACUAUGGUCUGAUUAGAGUUUAGUUAGUAUUCUAUUAGAGUUAAGAUUUUUUCGUUAUAAUUUCCAUUCUAUCUUCCAUAGCCAUGUACUUGGAGCAUUCUCAGGCAAGACUUUAUGUAUUACAAUAAUAUAUUGUAUUUGAAUAUGCCAAUUUGUACCAUAUUGUUGAAUGAAGUAUCAUGGUUUAGGAUUUAGGAUUUUAGGGUUUAAGAUUUAGGUUUUAGAAUUAAGACUUAGGAUUUAGAAUUAAGGAUUUAAGGAAAAAA
rnacentral:lncRNA from 1 species